rnacentral:misc_RNA from 1 species
ACUGAUAUUGGUGACUACCAGAUCAAGUUGCGCAAUCUGACCCGCUUCCUGGAGGCGGGUGACAAGGCCAAGGUUUCUCUGCGAUUCCGCGGAAGAGAGAUGGCGCACCAGGAGCUGGGUCUGGAGAUGAUGCAGCGCAUUGAGCGAGAUCUGGCGGAGCUGGGUACUGUGGAGCAGCGGCCAAAGCUGGAAGGCCGCCAGAUGAUCAUGGUGAUUGCUCCUAUCAAAAAGAAAAAGUGAGGCCGCGGCUGAGCCGCGGAAUCUCUUUGGGAAGUGAUUGGGCGACGGCUGCCUCUUCACUCCCGUAACAUGCCGCCGUUACCCGGCGGU